CCUAGAGCCAUAUCUCCCUGCUGUUCUCGCCUGGUUUCCCACUGAAGCUAAGCAGGUUGAGCCUGGAGAGUACCUGGAUGGGAGACCUCCUGGGGAAAACUAAGGUUGCUGCUGGAA
rnacentral:rRNA from 1 species